CUACGUGCCAGCAGCCGCGGUAAUACGUAGGUGGCAAGCGUUGUCCGGAAUUAUUGGGCGUAAAGCGCGCGCAGGCGGAUUGGUCAGUCUGUCUUAAAAGUUCGGGGCUUAACCCCGUGAUGGGAUGGAAACUGCCAAUCUAGAGUAUCGGAGAGGAAAGUGGAAUUCCUAGUGUAGCGGUGAAAUGCGUAGAUAUUAGGAAGAACACCAGUGGCGAAGGCGACUUUCUGGACGAAAACUGACGCUGAGGCGCGAAAGCCAGGGGAGCGAACGGGAUUAGAUACCCCGGUAGUCCUGGCCGUAAACGAUGGGUACUAGGUGUAGGAGGUAUCGACCCCUUCUGUGCCGGAGUUAACGCAAUAAGUACCCCGCCUGGGGAGUACGACCGCAAGGUUGAAACUCAAAGGAAUUGACGGGGGCCCGCACAAGCGGAGGAACAUGUGGUUUAAUUCGAUGAUACGCGAGGAACCUUACCAGGUCUUGACAU
rnacentral:rRNA from 1 species